GAUGAACGCUGGCGGCGUGCCUAAUACAUGCAAGUCGAGCGAACAGACGAGGAGCUUGCUCCUCUGACGUUAGCGGCGGACGGGUGAGUAACACGUGGAUAACCUACCUAUAAGACUGGGAUAACUUCGGGAAACCGGAGCUAAUACCGGAUAAUAUAUUGAACCGCAUGGUUCAAUAGUGAAAGACGGUUUUGCUGUCACUGAUAGAUGGAUCCGCGCCGCAUUAGCUAGUUGGUAAGGUAACGGCUUACCAAGGCAACGAUGCGUAGCCGACCUGAGAGGGUGAUCGGCCACACUGGAACUGAGACACGGUCCAGACUCCUACGGGAGGCAGCAGUAGGGAAUCUUCCGCAAUGGGCGAAAGCCUGCCGGAGCAACGCCGCGUGAGUGAUGAAGGUCUUCGGAUCGUAAAACUCUGUUAUUAGGGAAGAACAAAUGUGUAAGUAACUAUGCACGUCUUGACGGUACCUAAUCAGAAAGCCACGGCUAACUACGUG
rnacentral:rRNA from 1 species